UGCAAGUCGAGGGGUAUAAGGAGCUUGCUCCUUAGAGACCGGCGCACGGGUGCGUAACGCGUAUGCAAUCUGCCUUUCACAAAGGGAUAGCCCAGAGAAAUUUGGAUUAAUACCUUAUAGUAUAUGGAUGUGGCAUCACAAUCAUAUUAAAGAUUUAUCGGUGAAAGAUGAGCAUGCGUCCCAUUAGCUUGUUGGUAAGGUAACGGCUUACCAAGGCUACGAUGGGUAGGGGUCCUGAGAGGGAGAUCCCCCACACUGGUACUGAGACACGGACCAGACUCCUACGGGAGGCAGCAGUGAGGAAUACUGGACAAUGGGCGCAAGCCUGAUCCAGCCAUGUCGCGUGCAGGAUGACGGUCCUAUGGAUUGUAAACUGCUUUUAUACGGGAAGAAACCCUGGAACGUGUUCCAGAUUGACGGUACCGUAAGAAUAAGGAUCGGCUAACUCCGUGCCAGCAGCCGCGGUAAUACGGAGGAUCCAAGCGUUAUCCGGAAUCAAUGGGUUUAAAGGGUCCGUAGGCGGGCUUGUAAGUCAGUGGUGAAAUCUCCCGGCUCAACCGGGAAAUUGCCAUUGAUACUGCAAGUCUUGAAUUAUUGGGAAGUAACUAGAAUAUGUAGUGUAGCGGUGAAAUGCUUAGAGAUUACAUGGAAUACCAAUUGCGAAGGCAGGUUACUAUCAAUAUAUUGACGCUGAUGGACGAAAG
rnacentral:rRNA from 1 species